GAGUGAACGCUGGCGGUAGGCCUAACACAUGCAAGUCGAACGGCAGCACAGUAAGAGCUUGCUCUUACGGGUGGCGAGUGGCGGACGGGUGAGGAAUACAUCGGAAUCUACUUUUUCGUGGGGGAUAACGUAGGGAAACUUACGCUAAUACCGCAUACGACCUACGGGUGAAAGCAGGGGAUCUUCGGACCUUGCGCGAUUGAAUGAGCCGAUGUCGGAUUAGCUAGUUGGCGGGGUAAAGGCCCACCAAGGCGACGAUCCGUAGCUGGUCUGAGAGGAUGAUCAGCAACACUGGAACUGAGACACGGUCCAGACUCCUACGGGAGGCAGCAGUGGGGAAUAUUGGACAAUGGGCGCAAGCCUGAUCAAGCCAUACCGCGUGGGUGAAGAAGGCCUUCGGGUUGUAAAGCCCUUUUGUUGGGAAAGAAAAGCAGCAGGUUAAUACCCCGCUGUUCUGACGGUACCCAAAGAAUAAGCACCGGCUAACUUCGUG
rnacentral:rRNA from 1 species